rnacentral:rRNA from 1 species
UGAGGAAUAUUGGACAAUGGGCGCAAGCCUGAUCCAGCAAUGCCGCGUGCAGGAUGAAGGCCUUCGGGUUGUAAACUGCUUUUGUACGGAGCGAAAAGGUCUGCCCUAAUACGGUGGGCUCAUGACGGUACCGUAAGAAUAAGCACCGGCUAACUACGUGCCAGCAGCCGCGGUAAUACGUAGGGUGUGAGCGUUAAUCGGAAUUACUGGGCGUAAAGCGUGCGCAGGCGGUUAUAUAAGACAGAUGUGAAAUCCCCGGGCUCAACCUGGGACCUGCAUUUGUGACUGUAUAGCUAGAGUACGGUAGAGGGGGAUGGAAUUCCGCGUGUAGCAGUGAAAUGCGUAGAUAUGCGGAGGAACACCGAUGGCGAAGGCAAUCCCCUGGACCUGUACUGACGCUCAUGCACGAAAGCGUGGGGAGCAAACA